rnacentral:rRNA from 1 species
GACGAACGCUGGCGGCGUGCUUAACACAUGCAAGUCGAGCGGUAAGGCCCUUUCGGGGGUACACGAGCGGCGAACGGGUGAGUAACACGUGGGUGACCUGCCCUCAGCUCUGGGAUAAGCCUGGGAAACCGGGUCUAAUACUGGAUAUGACUCCAUGACGCAUGUUGUGGGGUGGAAAGCCUUGUGCGGCUGAAGAUGGGCCCGCGGCCUAUCAGCUUGUUGGUGGGGUGANGGCCUACCAAGGCGACGACGGGUAGCCGGCCUGAGAGGGCGACCGGCCACACUGGGACUGAGACACGGGCCCAGACUCCUACGGGAGGCAGCAGUGGGGAAUCUUGCGCAAUGGGCAAAGCCUGACGCAGCGACGCCGCGUGAGGGAUGACGGCCU